UACGAAGGGGGCUAGCGUUGUUCGGAAUCAUUGGGCGUAAAGGGCGCGCAGGUGGCUCUGUAUGUCUGCCGUGAAAGCAUACAGCUCAACUGUAUUGUGUCGGUAGAAACUGCAGGACUUGAGGCUGGGAGGGGCUGGUGGAAUUCCCUGUGUAGCGGUGAAAUGCGUAGAGAUGGGGGAGAACACUCGUGGCGAAGGCGGCCAGCUAGACCAGUUCUGACACUGAGGCGCGACAGCGUGGGGAGCAAACAGG
rnacentral:rRNA from 1 species